GGGAGUUAGAGAGGACGCCAUUUCAUCAUUCCUGCGCCAUUCCUGCUCCGCCUUUCUUUUCUGAGAUCGGUGAGCAAAGUAUUUUACUAGUUCAUUGUUUAUCUGUGCUUUUCAUGAGUUCUUUGCAAGCAAAAUGUUCCAGUGUUCAUUGGAUAAUUGUUUAAAAAUAUUUUGUGGAAAACCUUAUUCAAUUUACUGAAAAACAGCAUUUGAAGCAAAUGCACAGAUUGUGUGUUUUACUGUCUAUUUUCAAUUUGUAACAUGGGUAACGUUGCAAAUAAUACAUUUUAGGUGAUAGGACUGUGAACUGUGAUUAUAUAAGGAACUUAAUAUGUCCUAUGACACUGUCAUUGACAGGUCAGGUUUUUUUUUUUGUUUCCCUUUGUAUCUUCCUUUUGAUGCAUUGCAACGGAUCCUGUAAUCGAUGGCGAGCCAACCCCGUUGAAGGACCAACUGACUUUGUUCUGUGCUGCACAGCAGAGUGUGGUAGGCCAGCUGCAACAAAACAGAAACAACCACGCCACUUUGAACUUGUUGUUCCCCUUCUUCACACACAUCCCCUGGACUUACGGACGGUUUAUUUUAAGGACUUUUUACGGACUCUAUACAUCCCACAAACAGGAAGGGAAGUGGGUGUGGGCAGUUGGAUCUAUUUUUCCAGCUUAAUAGUUGUUGCAAUUUGUUAACAAAGUCUACGAAGAUACAAACCAAUGUUAUCAUUUGGAUCUUAGUAAUUGAGAUUUUUGUUCAUUUUGAAUGUGAACUUUGUACAUCUAGAAGGGUGCACCCAGGUAAGGUUUUUUUUUUUAAAGUGAUUACUGUGAUUGUGCCACAGGGUUGUCACUGAGGAAAAUACUGGUACCAAAAAGAGAUACUUUUAUUUGUAAUGUUUAGUAUGUUUGUCAUAUUUUUUUUUUUGUUUUCUGGGUGAAAAGAAAAAUACAAAGCCGGGAAUUUUUCAAAACUCACAGUUGCCUGAGUCUCAUUCAGUUUGCCUCUCCUCUACGUCCAAAUCGUUGAGCUCUUUUGCAUCAAAUUUGGGUGAAGU
ensembl:lncRNA